rnacentral:ncRNA from 2 species
ACUCGGGCGAUACGUCACGGUGCUCGGGAAGUCCGGUGAGAAGCCGGCGCGGUACUCGCCACUGUGAACAGGUCCGGAAGUCGCCGGGAGUGCAGGACUCCAGCCACUGGGUGCUCGUCAUCUGGGAAGGUGCGACCGCCGGCAGUCCUGUGUAGCCAGGAGACCGGCCGCGGCGUACCCCGAAGU